GUGCUUGCUUCAGUAGCACAUAUACUAAAAUUGGAACAAUACAGAAAAGAUUGACAUGGCCCCUGCACAAGGAUAACACACAAAUUCAUGAUGCGUUCCAUAUUUAA